CCUACGGGAGGCAGCAGUGAGGAAUAUUGGUCAAUGGCCGUAAGGCUGAACCAGCCAAGUCGCGUGAAGGAAGAAGGAUCUAUGGUUUGUAAACUUCUUUUAUAGGGGAAUAAAGGUAUCCACGUGUGGAUAUUUGCAUGUACCCUAUGAAUAAGCAUCGGCUAACUCCGUGCCAGCAGCCGCGGUAAUACGGAGGAUGCGAGCGUUAUCCGGAUUUAUUGGGUUUAAAGGGUGCGUAGGUUGUUUUUUAAGUCAGCGGUGAAAGUUUGUGGCUCAACCAUAAAACUGCCGUUGAAACUGGAAGACUUGAGUGUGUUUGAGGUAGGCGGAAUGCGUGGUGUAGCGGUGAAAUGCAUAGAUAUCACGCAGAACUCCGAUUGCGAAGGCAGCUUACUAAGCCAUAACUGACACUGAGGCUCGAAAGUGUGGGUAUCAAACAGGAUUAGAUACCCGAGUAGUC
rnacentral:rRNA from 1 species